GAGAGAUGGGAGAGAGAGAAAAGAGAGAGAAAAGCGAGGGAACUCUCUCCUCUGUCUAAUCUCUCUAAGCUCUCUCCCUUCUCUCUCUCUUUUCUCUCUUUUUUCUCCUCUCUCUUCUCUCUCUCUU
rnacentral:ribozyme from 15 species